AACCUUCGCAAUGUGCGAAAGCACGACGAGGUUAUUCCGAGUGAUUUCCGCUGAGGAAAUCUUUUCUCAGAUCUAAAACGUCUGGGGAAUAAGGGGAGGGCAAGUCUGGUGUCAGCCGCCGCGGUAAUACCAGCUCCUCGAGUGGUCAGGGCGUUUAUUGGGCCUAAAGCAUCCGUAGCCGGCUCAGUUGGUCUCCUGUUAAAUCCAACGGCUCAACCGUUGGUCCGCAGGAGAUACCGCUGGGCUAGGAGGCGGGAGAGGCGGACGGUACUCCGAGGGUAGGGGUAAAAUCCUUUGAUCCCCGGAAGACCACCAGUGGCGAAGGCGGUCCGCCAGAACGCGCUCGACGGUGAGGGAUGAAAGCUGGGGGAGCGAACCGGAUUAGAUACCCGGGUAGUCCCAGCCGUAAACGAUGCGAGCUAGGUGACACGACGCCUUCGGGGCGUCGUGGUGCCGCAGGGAAGCCGUUAAGCUCGCCGCCUGGGGGGUAUGGACGCAAGUCUGAAACUUAA
rnacentral:rRNA from 1 species